UUUAUUAUUAUACAUAAGUACACUGUAGCUGUCUUCAGACAUACCAAAAGAGGGCAUCAGAUCUCAUUACAGAUGGUUGUGAGCCACCAUGUGGUUACUGGGAUUUGAACUCAGGACCUUUGGAAGAGCAGUCAGUGCUCUUAUCCACUGAGCCAUCUCACCACCCCAGUGUGUAUAGUGUCUUAUAUAUUCCCUUUAGGGUUGAACAUUUUGCAAUCUCUUAUUCUCUGUACCUUGGUCAGUUGUCAGUCUCUGUAUUGAUUACUGCCUACUGCAAAUGAAAGCGUCUCAGAUAAGAAGCUAAGAGAUGCACUGCUCUAUGGAUAUGAUGAAAAGUCAUUAGGAAUUGGCUUAAUACUAUGUCCACUUAGCAACAUAAUAGUAGGUUCUCCCCUAGACCUAUGACCUGUCUAACAGUAGGUUAGUGGCCCAGUAAUAGUGCCAGGUAUAGGUUUCAUGUUGUGGAACUGGCUUUAAAUCUAAUCAGAAAGUGGUUGGUUACUGUUGUGGUUUGAAAAUGCUUGGCCCAAGGAGUGGCACUAUUUGGAAGUGUGGCCUUGUUGGAAUAGGUGUGUCACUGUGGGCGUGGGCUUUAAGACCCUCAUCCUAGCUGCCUGGAAGUCAGUAUUCUGCUAGCAGCCUUCAGAUGAAGAUGUAGAAUUCUUAGCUUCUCCAGCACCAUGCCUGCCUGGAUGCUGCCAUGUUUCUGCCUUGAUGAUAAUGGGCUGAAUCUCUGAACCUGUAAGCCAGCCUCAAUUAAACAUUGUCCUUAUAGGAGUUGCCUUGGUCAUGGUGUCUGUUCACAGCAGUAAAACCCUAACUAAGACAGUUCUCAUAAUGUUCAUGGCACUAUUGGACCAGUGGGCAUGUCUUGCCAGGCCAAUCACUAUUGCAGCUUGCAGAUGAAAGCGAGCCACUAGGGAUGUAUCAACUUGGUUCCAUCAUGUUCUAUGACUCAGGUACGUGAUGUCUUCAGCAGUAGGGUAGUACCAUCACAAAUGUCAUUUAUUGUACAUGUUGUUCAUAAUAGUUCAUUGUUACCUAAGUUUACAUAAAAACAUAGCUCCAUUAUCUUGUGGCUGCACCAUCCUCAAGGCAGCAGAGUCCUCUAGCUACAUAUUUGAUCAAUAAUAUGUCCAAGAGGAGCAAGGGAUCAACAGUGAAGAGUGAGCUGUCCAGACUGCAGAGUUAUGAAUGGUACUUUUGAACUUUUAUCCACAUUGGCUUCUCAAGUCAUGGGCUCCUGCUGAGCUGCAAGGCAGGCUGGGAAGUUGGGUGUGGUUCUGUGCCCUGAAGGAAGGUCACAGUGAGAUGAGCACAUAGAUGUGCCCCACAUAGUAUGAGCACAUAGUAUUACCCCUAGCUGAUGGUGUCUUCUUGCAUUAAAGUAAUAGGAGUUAAUUCUUUGUGUUGAGAUUUUUGACUUUGGUACAGCUUUUAUCCUGAUAGGAAAGUUAACUAAAAUCCUAACCUCUGACACAGAGGGAGGAGUGUCGGGUAUAUCAAUCAGCCAGUUCUACCAUGGUUUCGAGAAGUAGGGAGCAGGGCAAGGAGAUUCAAGAAGGCUGUGAACUGAGCAAAGAAAGCUUUACAACCCCUAUAGACCCUUGCCAUUUAAGGCACUUAGGACGCCAGACAUACCUGUAAUGUGUUUGAUUCUUAGGAGUCAAUUCUUGAACGGCCUCCCCAGCAGCAGCAAGAGUCACGUGGGCCUUCUUAUGCCUGCAGAUUUGUGGACUGUGCUUUAGCUGUAGGGUAAACAGGAAGGUUUGAGGAAAGACGCUGGCCUGAGUGCAACCAAUUUGGAAUGAACUUAGAAGAGAGAAAGAAUCUCACAACCAGGUCAGCUUCAUGUCAGAGGAACGUUAGAAGAGAACUCCCAAAGGACGUUUGAUGGGGCCUUGAGAGAAGAGCCUUCCCUUCAGAUCCAUAGGGGCUGAGCUAGACACAGCCACCGUGGUUAGCACAAUGGGCUUCCUGAAGAAAGGGCAGAGGAUGGUCUGUCUUUCUUUCUUCCAUUCUUUCCUUUCCUUUCCUUUCCUUUCCUUUCCUUUCCUUUCCUUUCCUUUCCUUUCCUUUCCUUUCCUUUCCUUUCCUUUCCUUUCCUUUCCUUUCCUUUCCUUUCCUUUCCUUUCCUUUCCUUCCCUUUCCCUUUCCCUUUCCCUUUCCCUUCCCCUUCCCCUUCCCCUUCCCCUUCCUUCCCCUUUCCCUUCCCCUUCCCCUUUCCCUUUCCCUCUUUCUUUCUCUCUCUCUCUUUCUAUAAAUUAUUUAACAUAAUUUAUUUAUAUAAAUAUAUUUGCAUAAAUAUAAAUAAUAAUAAUAAAUUAUUAUUACUUAUUUAUAUAAAAAUUCUUAACAGGUUUUCAAGGGGGUCAGCCAACUUCUCCCAUGUGAUGUAGUCUGGCCCAGCCUAUGAGCCCUUGCCACAGAGGCCUAGAUAUGUGCUUAGAUGGGACUAUAAACAUAGCUUGCAUGUUCAAAGGGGAGGCAAGGCAACAACACGGAGUACUUUCUUACUAUCUCAGGGGGGAGGGGGAAGGGGGAGGGGGAGAAAAGGAAAGGGGAGGCGAGAGGGGAGUGGGAGGGGUGGGGGUGGAACUGUGAUCUAACACUGGCAGGCUCCCACUUUACCCUAGAACCUGGCUAUAGCACAGCUACCCAACAAAAAAGAAGACAAACUCUAGUGCCUGAGAGUUCUGUCCUAGGAAUUGAGCUCCUAGUUUUAGAAGCCGGUGGACAGACAGACUGACAGCAUUCUAGUUUGUAAAAUAAAUCUUCUGCCAUAUG
rnacentral:lncRNA from 1 species